UACGUAGGGUGCGAGCGUUGUCCGGAAUUAUUGGGCGUAAAGAGCUCGUAGGCGGCUUGUCGCGUCGUCCGUGAAAACUCACAGCUCAACUGUGAGCUUGCGGUCGAUACGGGCAGGCUAGAGUUCGGUAGGGGAGACUGGAAUUCCUGGUGUAGCGGUGAAAUGCGCAGAUAUCAGGAGGAACACCGGUGGCGAAGGCGGGUCUCUGGGCCGAUACUGACGCUGAGGAGCGAAAGCGUGGGGAGCGAACAGG
rnacentral:rRNA from 1 species